rnacentral:lncRNA from 1 species
CAUUUAUUCCCCAGGGUUAAGUUUAGCCUUCUACAUACUUAUCAGUACGAUUCUCCUUCUCUUGUACUCCCUCUGUCCCAUAAUGUAAGACGUUUUUUGACACUACACUAGUGUCAAAAAACGUCUUACAUUAUGGGACGGAGGGAGUACAUAAUUAGUCAGUACUGGUUAUUACUGAACACUUGUUAUUUUUGUUUCAGGAGAACACUUCAAGUCCAUCUGAUUCCUUUUUUCCGUGCGAAAGUAUAUCUGAUUUUUUCAUACCUAUCAAUGGGGAUAAUGAGGUUGCUGACAUGCCCACAUCUUCAGAGGUACAUGAUUUCUGUUGUUUUACGCUUUGCUAAAAAUAAUAUAUUCGGCCAUUUAACUUAGAAUGGGGCUGGAAAGCUUCUGCUGUAUUAGGAUGGUCAUCCCAUCAUUGUGAAUCUACUCUGUUGUAGAAAGAAGGAAAUCAAAAAGGGUAAAACACAAUAAAAUGUGAAAAACAAGCUGCACACUGCAAGCAUCGACGAAUCACACCCCAAGAAGAAGCAUGAAUCAUCUCAGCCCAAUGCAAUCAGAAGUGAUCUGAAUGUGCAAUGUCAUUGAAUUGUUAAUAAAGAGUAUACUGUUUUGUUAGCUUUUGAGUUAGGAAAGCCACUGCCAUCGAGGCCGAUCAUAUCUUUGAUUAGGUCGAAAAUUAAACAUUGCAGUGGCCUGAUCUUGCUAAACUUGAAUCGGUCUAAUAAAAAUAUGGAUUUUCCACUUUUGACCUGCAUUUUGUUGACGUUCUCUAUAAGGAAGGGUUCAGAACUUUCUCAAGGUUCAAAAUUGAAUACCAGCGGUACCUGCUUGCAGUCAGGUUUUCUUUUUUCAAUGCAUGAUGCAUUUGUAGCUCUUUGUCUCAUCUAUGAAGGCACUGCAUACACCUAUAGUACACUAACCUUGCUAAGCUUAGAUUUUCGCAUUUUUACAUUGUGCUUAAGGUGAAUGUUGAAUGAAUUUGUACGGUAUGCUAGAUUUCUUACCUGGGUGGUUGGGAACCUUACGUUGGUAGAUACUGACCCUCACGCAGCCUGUCAAUAUUCAAGGAUGCUGCAAAUUCGAGUUGAUAUAUUUCAAUUGCCUCUACAUGUUUGUUGUACUUCUGAGAACUGAAAAUAUUCUGUUUUACAGGUACCUGUUCAAGUGGUUGUCAGCUAAUGUAAGAGGGAUAGACAGUAACGUUUUUGUAUUUAGGAUGGGUAUGAGUAAUGUUAAAUUGAAAUUUCAGAACUUCUUUUGCAAAUAAACACCAGCAAAAUUCAGGUUUUGGCGAGAAGAAAAGUGAAACUAAAGGUUACAGUGCAAUUUAAUAGGAUACUAUGCUGCUUCCAGCCCAUGGAU